rnacentral:rRNA from 1 species
UCAGGAUGAACGCUGGCGGCGUGCUUAACACAUGCAAGUCGAACGGUGAAGCCAAGCUUGCUUGGUGGAUCAGUGGCGAACGGGUGAGUAACACGUGAGCAACCUGCCCUGGACUCUGGGAUAAGCGCUGGAAACGGUGUCUAAUACUGGAUAUGAGCUCUCACUGCAUGGUGGGGGUUGGAAAGAUUUUUCGGUCUGGGAUGGGCUCGCGGCCUAUCAGCUUGUUGGUGAGGUAAUGGCUCACCAAGGCGUCGACGGGUAGCCGGCCUGAGAGGGUGACCGGCCACACUGGGACUGAGACACGGCCCAGACUCCUACGGGAGGCAGCAGUGGGGAAUAUUGCACAAUGGGCGGAAGCCUGAUGCAGCAACGCCGCGUGAGGGAUGACGGCCUUCGGGUUGUAAACCUCUUUUAGCAAGGAAGAAGCGAAAGUGACGGUACUGCAGA